AGAGUUUGAUCCUGGCUCAGGACGAACGCUGGCGGCAUGCCUAAUACAUGCAAGUCGAACGAGCUGACAGAGUGCUUGCACUCUCGACGCGAGUGGCGGACGGGUGAGUAACACGUGGGAAACCUACCUGUAAGUAGGGGAUAACAUUCGGAAACGGAUGCUAAUACCCUAUAGGUUUCAGUUCCGCAUGGAACUGAAAGGAAAGACGGCUUUGCUGUCGCUUACAGAUGGUCCCGCGGCGCAUUAGCUAGUUGGUGGGAUAAAAGCUCACCAAGGCUGUGAUGCGUAGCCGACCUGAGAGGGUAACCGGCCACACUGGGACUGAGACACGGCCCAGACUCCUACGGGAGGCAGCAGUAGGGAAUCUUCCGCAAUGGACGAAAGUCUGACGGAGCAAUGCCGCGUGAAUGAAGAAGGUCUUCGGAUCGUAAAAUUCUGUUGUUAGAGAAGAACAAGGAGUAGGUAACUACUACUCCCUUGACGGUAUCUAACCAGAAAGCCACGGCUAACUACGUGCCAGCAGCCGCGGUAAUACGUAGGUGGCAAGCGUUGUCCGGAUUUAUUGGGCGUAAAGGGAGCGCAGGCGGUGACUUAAGUCUGAUGUGAAAGCCCACGGCUCAACCGUGGAAGGUCAUUGGAAACUGGGUCACUUGAAUAUAGAAGAGGAAAGUGGAAUUCCAUGUGUAGCGGUGAAAUGCGUAGAUAUAUGGAGGAACACCAGUGGCGAAGGCGACUUUCUGGUCUAUUAUUGACGCUGAGGCUCGAAAGCAUGGGUAGCAAACAGGAUUAGAUACCCUGGUAGUCC
rnacentral:rRNA from 1 species